AUACGGAGGAUCCAAGCGUUAUCCGGAAGCAUUGGGUUUAAAGGGUCCGUAGGCGGGUUUGUAAGUCAGUGGUGAAAGUUUUCGGCUCAACCGGAAAAUUGCCAUUGAUACUGCAAGUCUUGAAUCAUUAUGAAGUGGUUAGAAUGUGUAGUGUAGCGGUGAAAUGCAUAGAUAUUACACAGAAUACCGAUUGCGAAGGCAGAUCACUAAUAAUGUAUUGACGCUAAGGGACGAAAGCGUGGGUAGCGAACAGGAUUAGAAACCCUAGUAGUCC
rnacentral:rRNA from 1 species